ACGUUAUUCGCUAGAAAAGAUGUUUUGGUCUCAGAUGGAAUAGUUGAACUCGUGACUCAAGAUAUCCACUAAGGAGUUUUAUUGUUGAAUUGAAGCAGAAGAAAUAAUUUAGUCAAAUCCUAAUUUGAUGAAAAUUUGAAUUUUAUACCUACGUUGGCGUCUAGCCUUAGGUGUUCCACGUAGACUACAGGUAGAAUCCUAACAUUUCUUUUAAAAUUGAAUAUCUGGUUUAAUAUUGUAACAAUUUUUAAUUAUGCUAUUAGUGUGUUCAACGUAUUAAUUUUAGAGUUUCUCCGAUCACGGCUUAAGGGAUGUGAGUUUGUGCCCAUAUCCCGUGCUGGUCGCACCUGAUUUUUGGGUUGUGACAGUUUUUGACUUCCUCAUCUGGGCCAUGUAUUAGAUCUAGCUUUUAUGCAUUGACUUGGAAAAGUCAUAACUUGAGCUAUAGGGACCCAAUUAAUAUGAUCUAACCUUUAUAGAAAUCUUAUGCAGUUUUUCAUAAUUUAAAAUUAUUAAACAGGAUGUUGUAUGUCUCAAUUGAUACAUUUUAAUUAGUAAAAGAAACUCUGUACAUAAUGUUGGUGGUACCAGCAAUAUAGACAUGAACGACGAGCUGAUUGAGUCAUGUCUAGAAGGACACUGUUCUUAAAAACUAUUCCGGCACACCGAGACGACGGACCAGAAGUUUCUCAGGAUUAAACAAGCACUCUCUGCAGGAGUAAGGAACCAGAAUAGCAGGAACUAAAAAUGCACUUAGAUGAACAACACAGCAGAAGCUAGAGGGAGGAGAGAAUUGCCUCAAAAACUCAAGAGGCUGGCACAUGCAGAACAUCAUUCGGAGUCCGAGUCUUUCCUGAUGUGAGCUUUAAGACCACUUUCCCUUUUCCUUGAACUUUGGCAGUUCGGGAAUCAGCAAGGUAAAUAUGGUCUUCCCUUUUCUUUACAGGAUCAUAGGAGGUAAGCAUCUCCUAGCUAGCACAUAUGUUCCUGGUAGCCCCAGAGUCUACCACCCAUUUCUUCACAUCAGAAAUCAAGAGAGCUUGUGACACCACUGCAACAAUGAUGUCAUCAUCACUAUCACCAACUCGUUGUAUCAAAUUUACAUUGGGCUUACGAGGCUUAUCACGGGUCAUAACUCUUGUUGUGAGGCUUUGUCUCCACCAGGUUGGCUUUGGAUGUCAUCUCUCUGGUUUGAGCUGCACAUACUACCUUGUGGUUGGUGUCUUCGAUGAUGAUGUGAGUGAUCAAGUCAGUCAAGGACAGCUACUUUUGUUUGUGUUUUAGCUGCUACUUGUAAUCAUCCCAUGAUUUUGGCAGCUUCUAAAUCAGGAUCCCAGCAAUGAACUCGUCUGGAAGGUUGAUGUUUUCAGCACCAAGCUCCUCUAGUAGCUUAUGAUAUUCAUUGAUUUGCUCCUUCACAUCCUUGUUCUCGGUCAUCUCCCAUUUGUAGUAGUUUUUCACAACGAACUUUUGUUUGCUAGCAUCAUUUGCAGUGUACUUUGUCACCAAGGACUCUUAUAUCUUACAAGCUUCUUUGUAGAUACAAUAGACAUCGAACAAAUCAUUAGAUAAAGUGCUAAUGAUAAUGUGUCGGCAUACCUUGUUUGCAUGAGUCCAUGCAACUCUUCGAGCUUGAUCAGUAUCAGCAGCAGGCUCGGAUUGAGCAAGAGCAGCGGCCACACCAUGCAUGUCAAGAAUGGUGAAGACUCGUUCUUGCCAGCGUUUGAAAUUCUUGUUGUCAAAGACUUCUAUCUUCAAUAUGGUCGGGAAUGGCCUCGGCAAGGGGACAGCAACAGCGGCAGGGAUGUACUGAUCUCUAGUUGAACCACUGGGUACACCUUUGAGGAUGACAUUCUUAGCACUGUUAGACACCAUUCAAUCUGAUUAGUUCUUAAGAUUGUUGGCGGUAUAGACGUGAACGAUAAGCCGCUUGAGUCAUGUCCGAAAGGACACUGUUCUUAAGAACUAUUUCGGCACACUGAGACGACGGACCAAUAGUUCCAUAGGAUUAAACAAGUACUUCCUAUAGGAGCAAGGAACCAGAAUAGCCGAAACUAAAAAUGAACUCAGAUGAACAACAUAACAGAAGUUAGAGGGAGGAGAGAAUUGCUCGAAAAACUCAAGAGGAUGGUGAGUUGCUUUGCCUGCACCCAUGGCUAUAUAUAGCCCGAAGAUGGAGACAUGAAUGUUGGCUCAUAAUCACCGGAUUAAAGGCUCGGUUACACUCUCAUAAAACACGUUUAAAUACCUGUCUAGAUAUGUUAGGGGGUUAUGCAGAUGUAAAACACAUUUAAGCUCUUGCCUGGAAAUGUUGGGGAGACAAAUAUGUUUACAAAAUUAAUCUGGUCUGGUUAAUGGUAAAAAACGUUCAUGAUUUGAUUUUAAACUCCAGAUAGCCAAAAACUGAGAUUUUUCGAUAAGCAAAAAAAUAAUUAUUUAUUUAUUUUGUAAAAAUAAUUCGGUAAAAGGAACUCAAUGCCUCUUGAACUCAUGCGUAGGGGGGAAAAUUGGCUAAUUUCAACUGCAAUUGCCUUGAGUUAAUCUGU